rnacentral:pre_miRNA from 1 species
UCCGGCCAGCGAGAAGACUACGCAGCCCUCAAACAGGCGUUACUUGUCCAGUUCGAGCUGACCGCCGAGGGAGGGCUGCGUAAUCUUCUCGCUGGCCGGA